rnacentral:rRNA from 1 species
GAGUUUGAUCCUGGCUCAGAAUGAACGCUGGCGGCGUGCUUAACACAUGCAAGUCGAGCGAGAAAGCUCCCUUCGGGGGGUGAGUAAAGCGGCGAACGGGUGAGUAACACGUGGGCAACCUACCUCGGAGCGGGGGAUAACUUGGGGAAGGGGGAGCUAAUACCGCGUACGUCUCGAGGGCUUCGGCCCGAGAGGGAAAGCUGGCCUCUACAUGUAAGCUGGCACUCCGAGAGGGGCCCGCGCCCGAUUAGCUAGAUGGUGGGGUAACGGCCUACCAUGGCGACGAUCGGUAGCCGGCCUGAGAGGGCGAUCGGCCACACUGGGACUGAGACACGGCCCAGACUCCUACGGGAGGCAGCAGUGGGGAAUAUUGGACAAUGGGGGCAACCCUGAUCCAGCAACGCCGCGUGGAGGAAGAAGGCCUUCGGGUCGUAAACUCCUGUCAGGUGGGACGAAACAGCCGAGGUCAAUAGCCUCGGUUUCUGACGGUACCACCAGAGGAAGCCCCGGCUAACUCCGUGCCAGCAGCCGCGGUAAUACGGAGGGGGCAAGCGUUAUUCGGAAUUACUGGGCGUAAAGGGCGCGUAGCGGCCUCGCAAG